GACGAACGCUGGCGGCGUGCUUAACACAUGCAAGUCGAGCGGUAAGGCCCUUCGGGGUACCCGAGCGGCGAACGGGUGAGUGACACGUGAGUAAUGUGCCCAUCACUUCGGGAUAACUCCGGGAAACCGGUGCUAAUUCCGAAUAUGACCACUUCAUGCAUCUGAUGGAUGUGGAAAGUUACGGCGGGGUUGGAUGAGCUCGCGGCCUAUCAGCUUGGUGGUGGGGUAGUGGACUAGCAAGGCUUCGACGGGUAGCCGGCCUGAGAGGGUGAGCGGAUACACUGGGACUGGGAUACGGCACAGCCUACUACGGGAGGCAGCGGAGCGGAAGAUUAGACAAUAGGAGAAGGCAUGAUCCAGCAAAGCCGCGUGAGGGAUGAGGGCAUUCGCGUUGUAAACCUAUGUCAGUAGGGACGAGGCGAAAGUGACGGUACCUGCAGAAGAAGCACCGGCCAACUACGUG
rnacentral:rRNA from 1 species